UGUCAUAAUGAAACACAGGUUCCUAUAUGAUCACUGAAGUUAAGCAAUAUCAAGUCUGGUCAGUACCUUGAUGGGUGACCACUUGGGAAUACUAGGUGAU
rnacentral:rRNA from 1 species